GGUGUAGGUGGCUCUAUAAGUCAGAAGUGAAAGCCCUGGGCUCAACCCAGGAAGUGCUUUUGAUACUGCAGAGCUUGAAUGUGGGAGAGGAUCGUGGAAUUCCAGGUGUAGUGGUGAAAUACGUAGAUAUCUGGAGGAACACCGGUGGCGAAGGCGGCGAUCUGGCCCAACAUUGACACUGAGACCCGAAAGCGUGGGGAUCAAACA
rnacentral:rRNA from 1 species